GCCAGGGUGGUGUAGUGGUUUGAGCAUUGGACUGCAACUCUGAAGACCAGGUUUGAAAUCCCAGCUCGGCCA